rnacentral:misc_RNA from 1 species
GGUUAUUAUAAUUAUUGCCCACAAUGCGAUUGUUUCAUAAGUGUCAAUUUGAUUGUGAACUAUAGUCCAAAAUUGAAUUCAAAAUGUGAUUGUGAAUUAAUGGGGAUGUUGGUGGGGAGGAGAAGCUUGAUGCGUCCAAGACAGAAGAGACUUUGGUUAGGGUUUCUGCAAGGGAGAGAGAGGGAGAGGGAAAGGAAGAGAGAGAAGACAGAGAGGGUGAGAAAGAGAAAGAGAGAGAUGCUAGGAUCAAUUUGUAAAUAAUGAUAAUAUUAAGAGACCAACUUGUGAAAAUGCGUUGACCAACUUGUUAAUAAUUACAAUAUUCAAGGAUCAACUUGUUUAAAUACAAGAACGAACUUGUCAAUAAUGAAAAUAAAAAAGGACCUCAAGGUAAUUCACUCAUAUUUUUAUAAUUAUAAUUUACAUAUUAUUUUUCAAAUCUUAAAAUUUUAAAUUUUUUAAUUUAG